UAGUGCGGUGGACCCACCUGAGACCAUACCGAACUCAGAAGUGAAACGCUGUAAUGCCGAUGGUAGUGUGGGGUUUCCCCAUGUGAGAGUAGGGC
rnacentral:rRNA from 1 species